GGACCCUGAUGGCAGCACGCCGCGUGAGCGAGAAGGUCUUCGGAUCGUAAAGCUCUGUUGUCAGGGAAGAACAUGUGCAGUGUUAACUGGCUGCACCCUGCCGGUACCUUACUGCCAAGCCCCGGGUUAAUACGUGCCAGCAGCCGCGGUAAUAA
rnacentral:rRNA from 1 species